rnacentral:lncRNA from 1 species
AUGCUGGUGGUGCUGGUGGCACUGGUGGUUUCCUCAUUUCUCCUCCCUGAGGGGUCAUUGUCCCUCCAGCAGCAGAGGGAUGCUGGUGGUGCUGGUAGCACUGGUGGUGUUGGCAGCACUGUUGAAGGAUCUGGGUGCUUGUCAGAAACAACUCCCAUUCUGAGAAGAGCUCCAGAAUCAUUGCCAAAACCUCCCCUGGCUCAUGGGAGCACGCCCGGGCCAUGGACUCCCAUUUCUAUCAUUCCAGUGCAGGCUCACACCACCCAAGGGAAGGACAGCAAUCAGCUGCUUGCAGCCCAGUUAUCAGCACUUAGAGCCACCCUAAUUACUGCCAAUCCCAUUGAUAAUGCAAUGAAAGCUUUUAGAGACCACAGUGCUGUGAUCCUCCUUCCAGCCCUGCACCAGAGCUCCUGCUCCUCCUCAGUCCUGGGGACACCUGUGGUAUUUUCUACCUGAUCUCAUAUUGGCCCUUUGCCAGCAGUGACACCUUCUACAAUGCCAGGUUCCCCCGAUCCCCAUCCAACCUGGCCUUAUCUCUUCCAGGGAUGGGGCAGCCACAGCCUCUCUGGGCAAUCCGUGCCAGGGCCUCAGCCUUCCCUGACAGGGAAGGAUUUCUUCCCAAUAUCCAAUCUGAACCCACCCUCUGUCGGUUUGAAGCCAUUCCCCCUUGUCAAUACUCUCUCUCCAUCUUUCUUGGUGGCUCCUUCAGGUACUUGAAGGCCACAAGAAGGUCUCUCUCAUGCCAUUGUCCAAAGUCCCUCUCCAACUCUCCAGAAGCCUCUUUAGCUCAUGGAAAAUGAAGUGUUUGCACUUGCAAGGAUUGGCCUGGUGAGGGGAUGUGAGAUUCCAUAACUGGGGACACAAAUGGAGUGUCAGCAGGGAAGGCCCACCCUCUCUCAGGGAGAAGCAAUUCCUCCUUGUCCUGUCUCUCAUGCCAUUGUCCAAAGUCCCUCUCCAACUCUCCAGAAGCCUCUUUAGCUCAUGGAAAAUGAAGUGUUUGCACUUGCAAGGAUUGGCCUGGUGAGGGGAUGUGAGAUUCCAUAACUGGGGACACAAAUGGAGUGUCAGCAGGGAAGAGAAGUGACAUUUCUGGUAUCAGGGUCACCUGAAGUGCCAGUUUCCAGCAGGAGCAUGCCAGAUCCCUGAGGCAUGUCAGCCUGGAUAGGAAUCAUCUCACCUGAGCUUUCCAGGAAUUCCUUGGAAUUCACUGUAAGCUGCUGUCUGACUUCCAGGGGAGUGUAGAAGAUGAUUUAGGUGAAACCUGCAACUUUCUAGAGGUUGUAGCCACGGGAGCUGCUCUUGGGGUUUUGUUUUCUUUUCUUGUGUCUUGGCUGUGUAUUUUUUCCCAUGGAUAUGCGAAGAAGCACUGAUGGCUAGGUCCUUGUGGAGGCAGUGGGGGGAAAUGUGUGGCGGAACCUCCUGUUUUUUUGGGAGUUUCUCUCUUGGGGUGGGGUGGGAGCACCAUGCGAUUGGAAGCAGGAAAAGGAGGAUGGGGGGUCAGUUGC